AUCUCUAUAAGGUUCUGUUAGAGACUGAAUAGUUGGAUCCCUCCAGGAUUAUGCCCCUGUGUUUUCACACUUCUUGUUUCCAUGCAAGUUAAUCAACAACACAGCCCUCGUUGUCAGCAACAGUAUUAACCUCAGGACAAUUCAGCCAUCAUCACAGCCAUUCUCUAAACUCUUAUUGCUUUCAGGGGGUAUUUCCUACCAGAGACGGACUAUGGAACGUUAGCAUAUAUUGCACAGCAUCUCCCUUUGUGACAUACAAUUCUUUGUUACUAUAUAUUCACAGAAGACCACAACACAUCUGGCCGCUCCCCUGUUUGGGAGCACCACUGAUGAGCUAGUGUGCCACUUGUGAAUAAACUGCCCGCUGAAGUAACCACUGCAGCAGGGGCUGGGAAUGGCUACCUUGAGAACAGAGCUAUUGCAGAUUGUUCACCACACGUAUGUGAGUCAGAAAUAUAUACGAAUUUCUUCAGCUGAUAAAAGGACUCAGAGGCUGCCCAAGGCACACUGAAGUAGCAAUGAGCAUCUGGAACUCCACGUCAAUGGCUCCUGGGGAAGGCUGGUUUUGCCUUUAGCACAGGAAAGAGGGGAGAUGAAGGAACCACACAGAACUUCACUGAAGUAAUCACACUACAUCAAAUCUUUUAUCUAUUGUAUAUAUUUGCAAGGGAUGUGAGAUAAAAAUCUAAGAAUGGACUCCAAGCUUUCAGCUACUAUGGCACAUGAACUGAUUCCACCAAAUUUCCUUCAAGGCUAUUUAGCUAGAAAU